GUACACGCUGUGACUAGCAUAUCAAUAAGCGGAGGAAAAGAAACUAACAAGGAUUCCCCUAGUAACGGCGAGUGAAGCGGGAAGAGCUCAAAUUUGAAAUCUUAAAGGGUUUCCCUUUACGAAUUGUAGUUUAAAGAAGUGUUUUCUGUUGAGGUUUUGGUAAAAGUUCUUUGGAAUAGGACAUCAUAGAGGGUGAGAAUCCCGUAUUUGACCUUUACUUUCAACUUUGUGAUACACUUUCAAAGAGUCGGAAUUGUUUGGGAAUGCAGUCCAAAAUGGGUGGUAAAUUUCAUCUAAAGCUAAAUAUUGGCGAGAGACCGAUAGCGAACAAGUACCGUGAGGGAAAGAUGAAAAGAACUUUGAAAAGAGAGUUAAACAGUACGUGAAAUUGUCAAAAGGGAAGCGUUUGACACCAGUGUUGUUUUUCUGAAAAUCAAUUAAAGAACUGUUUAUGCUAAGCUGUUUAGACUUUAUCAGCUAAUCUGUUUAGUUUUGAGCUUUUCUUUAAUGCACUUUUCAGUUAACAAGUCAACAAUCAUUUCUUUUGCUGUAAAAAAGCUUGAGGAAGGUGGCUUGAGAUUCGUCUUAAGUGUUUAUAGCCUCUUGCCUAUGCAGUCGGAGAGAUUGAGGUCUGCAGCGUAGAUCCUUCGGGGCUAAAUGCAUUUGUGCUAAGUUAUAGCAUUUUAUAGACAACUUGUUGACUAUGAUUUGUCUUGUAGCUUACUCGCUUAUGUUAUUUUACCUACGCUUAGGAUGUUGAGUCGUAGAGCACGCAG
rnacentral:rRNA from 1 species